UUUUCUGAUUAGUCCUCAUUUGUUUCUGCUCUCCCCCGUGGCAUGCGUUCCCGUCCGCCGCCGUCCGCCGGACGCUGCCGCCGCCACAUGAGGCCACAGUUCCGGUCAUGGGGUGUGCCCCAAGAUAGCACCUGGCCCUCCUUGUGGGCUUCCUAAUCCUUUUCCCCAGCCCACUCAUCCAUCAACCCCUUCUCACAUCGGUAGGUAGCCAAUUUCUCCAUCGGUAGGGGCGCUCGAUGGAGAGCAAGGGCAAAAUGUUCCUGCGCUACGGGCCGUGCGGCGGGAUCACUGCCAGAACAGCGACCUGCUGCCGCGCCGUGGACACCCCGCUGCUGCACCGCAUGUCCGCACCCAACCCUGCAUCCUCGAUCGGGACAUCGGGAGUGGCCCCGAGUCACCGCCGCGCCCUCCCCCUCCGGCCGCCGGCUAACUGCUCCGUGAGUUGAGGAGGUGAAGCCCUUUACUUUCCAGGCGAUGGCCACUGUAAUUGGUGAACUUGGAUAAGGUGUCGAACUGGCAAUGUUAUCUUCUUGACCUGUGUGUUGCAAACCAUCAAAGUAUCAUGCCAAAAGAAACUUGCCACAUUAGAGGCCUCAAUGCUUCUAUUGAGUUGCAUGCACAUACCAGUUCAACCCAAAAGCUUAAGUUGACGGGGAGAGGUGGGCAAUUCACUUAUAUUCCAACAGCUUCUGCUCUGUGCUUGCUGUAGUGUGGACAGUUCACAAUCUGUUCCACGUCUCCAAGAGAUAUGAUGCCUCCAAUCGACCACCGCCAAUUGACUGCUGGACCAAAUUUUGUCACCAACAUUGCUUACCUUCUGGCUCACUUAACCAGGUGAUGUUUGCACUUUGCACAUGGGGUGAUCAAAGUAGCUGACUUGUGAGACUAUGACAAGUCACAUUUGACAUUUGUGUAAAGCUUGAUAGGCGCCCUCUGUUCUACAUAUCUUUCUACCAGGGUCAGUCUACCAGACAUUUGCCAUGAUCCAAGAGUGACGAAACAAAAUCUAUGUAUGACUCCAGAGAUACGCGAAGAUUUUCAGAUGAGAAUUUACAUGGAAGGGUGACCUCCAUUCCUCACUAUCUGGGUUCGCCACUUUUUGUGAACGUGCAAAUGUGAUCGCACGGCAAGAUCAUACUGCAACUCAUUGACAAAUGCACAGCGUAGACAAUGUUGUGGAAGGCGUAGAAUUUUGAGCAACAAUUGUGCUAUGCAGAUAUGCAUUGCUAGUAAGCCGGAUGAUUAUACAAAGUGUCACUUGUGACGACGUCGUCUUCGGCCUGAUGCGUUUGCUUGUUUCUCCUUUUUCAUCUUGACUCUUGACUUCUUGAGCGUGGAUGAUGUUUUUGCAGGGUCUGCAAUCUUUUUCUCCCUACUGGCUUUUUAUUGGCGUCAUCAUUCAGCGACAUGUAUAUACUUUUUCUUUUGAACGAACUCGACAUGUGUAGAAGAUUUGGGGCAAAUUUACUCAGGAGGAUUUUUCCUCUCCUGGUGCCGUC